rnacentral:rRNA from 1 species
GCGGCGUGCNUAAACCUGCAAGUCCAACGCUGAAGCUUGGUGCUUGCACUGGGUGGAUGAGUGGCGAACGGGUGAGUAAUACGUGAGUAACCUGCCCUUGACUCUGGGAUAAGCCUGGGAAACUGGGUCUAAUACUGGAUAUGACCUCCUGUCGCAUGGUGGGGGGUGGAAAGGGUUUGUACUGGUUGUGGAUGGGCUCACGGCCUAUCAGCUUGUUGGUGGGGUAAUGGCCUACCAAGGCGACGACGGGUAGCCGGCCUGAGAGGGUGACCGGCCACACUGGGACUGAGACACGGCCCAGACUCCUACGGGAGGCAGCAGUGGGGAAUAUUGCACAAUGGGCGCAAGCCUGAUGCAGCGACGCCGCGUGAGGGAUGACGGCCUUCGGGUUGUAAACCUCUUUCAGCACGGAAGAAGCGAAAGUGACGGUACGUGCAGAAGAAGCGCCGGCUAACUACGUGCCAGCAGCCGCGGUAAUACGUAGGGCGCAAGCGUUGUCCGGAAUUAUUGGGCGUAAAGAGCUCGUAGGCGGUUUGUCGCGUCUGCUGUGAAAGCCCGGGGCUUAACCCCGGGUGUGCAGUGGGUACGGGCAGACUUGAGUGCAGUAGGGGAGACUGGAACUCCUGGUGUAGCGGUGAAAUGCGCAGAUAUCAGGAAGAACACCGAUGGCGAAGGCAGGUCUCUGGGCUGUUACUGACGCUGAGGAGCGAAAGCAUGGGGAGCGAACAGGAUU